UACAGAGGUCUCAAGCGUUGUUCGGAUUCAUUGGGCGUAAAGGGUGCGUAGGCGGAUUGCUAAGUCAGGGGUGAAAUCCUGGAGCUCAACUCCAGAACUGCCUUUGAUACUGGCGGUCUCGAGUCCGGGAGAGGUGAGUGGAACUGCGAGUGUAGAGGUGAAAUUCGUAGAUAUUCGCAAGAACACCAGUGGCGAAGGCGGACUCACUGGCCCGGUACUGACGCUGAGGUGCGAAAGCGUGGGGAGCAAACAGG
rnacentral:rRNA from 1 species